CCUACGGGUGGCAGCAGUGAGGAAUAUUGGUCAAUGGACGAGAGUCUGAACCAGCCAAGUAGCGUGAAGGAUGACUGCCCUAUGGGUUGUAAACUUCUUUUAUAUGGGAAUAAAAUGUUCCACGUGUGGGAUUUUGUAUGUACCAUAUGAAUAAGGAUCGGCUAACUCCGUGCCAGCAGCCGCGGUAAUACGGAGGAUCCGAGCGUUAUCCGGAUUUAUUGGGUUCAAAGGGAGCGUAGGUGGAUUGUUAAGUCAGUUGUGAAAGUUUGCGGAUCAACCGUAAAAUUGCAGUUGAAACUGGCAGUCUUGAGUACAGUAGAGGUGGGCUGAAUUCGUGGUGUAGCGGUGAAAUGCUUAGAUAUCACGAAGAACUCCGAUUGCGAAGGCAGUUCACUGGACUGCAACUGACACUGAGGCUCGAAAGUGUGGGUAUCAAACAGGAUUAGAUACCCGAGUAGUC
rnacentral:rRNA from 1 species